UACGGAGGGAGCUAGCGUUAUUCGGAAUUACUGGCGUAAAGCGCACGUAGGCGGCUUUGUAAGUUAGAGGUGAAAGCCUGGAGCUCAACUCCAGAAUUGCCUUUAAGACUGCAUCGCUUGAAUCCAGGAGAGGUGAGUGGAAUUCCGAGUGUAGAGGUGAAAUUCGUAGAUAUUCGGAAGAACACCAGUGGCGAAGGCGGCUCACUGGACUGGUAUUGACGCUGAGGCGCGAAAGCCAGGGGAGCAAACGGG
rnacentral:rRNA from 1 species